rnacentral:rRNA from 1 species
AACGCUAGCUACAGGCUUAACACAUGCAAGUCGAGGGGCAGCAUUCCAGUUUGCUUGCAAACUGGAGAUGGCGACCGGCGCACGGGUGAGUAACACGUAUCCAACCUGCCGAUAACUCGGGGAUAGCCUUUCGAAAGAAAGAUUAAUACCCGAUGGCAUAAUAGAACCGCAUGGUUUGAUUAUUAAAGAAUUUCGGUUAUCGAUGGGGAUGCGUUCCAUUAGGCAGUUGGUGGGGUAACGGCCCACCAAACCUUCGAUGGAUAGGGGUUCUGAGAGGAAGGUCCCCCACAUUGGAACUGAGACACGGUCCAAACUCCUACGGGAGGCAGCAGUGAGGAAUAUUGGUCAAUGGACGAGAGUCUGAACCAGCCAAGUAGCGUGAAGGAUGACUGCCCUAUGGGUUGUAAACUUCUUUUAUACGGGAAUAAAGUGAGGCACGUGUGCCUUUUUGUAUGUACCGUAUGAAUAAGGAUCGGCUAACUCCGUGCCAGCAGCCGCGGUAAUACGGAGGAUCCGAGCGUUAUCCGGAUUUAUUGGGUUUAAAGGGAGCGUAGGCGGACGCUUAAGUCAGUUGUGAAAGUUUGCGGCUCAACCGUAAAAUUGCGGUUGAUACUGGGUGUCUUGAGUACAGUAGAGGCAGGCGGAAUUCGUGGUGUAGCGGUGAAAUGCUUAGAUAUCACGAAGAACUCCGAUUG